CUCGGCGGACCGACACUGGGAGGACUGUGGUUGCACUGGGCCGCACGCCAGCUAAACUCAGGACGGAUCCCAGACAGUGAAAUGGGAACACGCCGUCCGAGAACCCCCCCCAGUGUGAAAACAUGACGAACAUAUCACGACUCUACAGAGUACACCUCAGGGAGGAUAUUUAACUGCAAACACUCUGCAUUCCUCCUCCUGGACCGGUGCUGGACUCCAAAGUAAAGUUUACAUUCCUGGGCUAGCUGGGAGGAAUGCUGCCCUCCGGGGCUCUGGACCGGAUCUGAGGGGAUCACGGGAUGCUCAGUUUACAGGUACGUUUUCAAUAUGUACAACACGGACUUUCAUGGUUCAACAGUGUGUUCAUGUGAGGCACUGAUCGCAUCUACGGAACUUAGGGAGGAAAACACAUGAAUAGCUUUUUACACGCUUAAUUUUUUUUUUUUUUACUCAU